rnacentral:rRNA from 1 species
GAUGAACGCUGGCGGCGUGCCUAAUACAUGCAAGUCGAGCGAACAGACGAGGAGCUUGCUCCUCUGACGUUAGCGGCGGACGGGUGAGUAACACGUGGAUAACCUACCUAUAAGACUGGGAUAACUUCGGGAAGCCGGAGCUAAUACCGGAUAAUAUAUUGAACCGCAUGGUUCAAUAGUGAAAGACGGUUUUGCUGUCACUUAUAGAUGGAUCCGCGCCGCAUUAGCUAGUUGGUAAGGUAACGGCUUACCAAGGCAACGAUGCGUAGCCGACCUGAGAGGGUGAUCGGCCACACUGGAACUGAGACACGGUCCAGACUCCUACGGGAGGCAGCAGUAGGGAAUCUUCCGCAAUGGGCGAAAGCUUGACGGAGCAACGCCGCGUGAGUGAUGAAGGUCUUCGGAUCGUAAAACUCUGUUAUUAGGGAAGAACAAAUGUGUAAGUACCUAUGCACGUCUUGACGGUACCUAAUCAGAAAGCCACGGCUAACUACGUG